rnacentral:lncRNA from 1 species
CCUAUUCAAAACACUUUGGAAUCAAGCUUUGUAACUCACCUUCCCAGUACCAACGUAGGGUACAAUUGUCCUGCUUUUAAGAUAGGAAAUCUUUGGCAAAUAUAUACUUUACAAUCUCCAUUUUUUAAAGUGAGUUCAGUCUCAGGUGUACUCAGGACUGUCAGAGGACGUGGGAGCCCAUAAUAUGUGCAUAGCUCAGUGCUGCACAGGCGACUCAUGACCACAGAAAUACAUAAUAACCAAAAACGUAAGUCUCAGUCAUUUGUUCAAGAUCACAGAGAACACAGGUGGGAGGGCUUGGACCAGGAAUAGAUAAAUAACAGUCAUCUUCCUGUUCUCUAAUGACCUAAUGAUUGGGUUCUCUCUUUUGCAUCUGGUACCCAAAGGACUGAGCUCUGUAAAUUGAGGAAAACAACGAUUCAAAGCACAAAGACACAGAUCACAGAGACGGUAAUAGAUGGCUUGAACAGCCCCAAUGCUAUUAACAUUCUGAGACUGGAAAAUCUUCAUUGUGUUUUUGCUACUUUUGGCUGAGACCAGAAGCUGAAGUUCUUCUGACCUUUACUGCUGUCUGAAUGUGAAAUUCUCUGCUCUGCUAGCAUUGAUCCAAAAUAAAAACUCUGGGAGAGUUUUAUCCUGUUCUUGCUAUUUCAUUCUGCACUUUACAGAGUAGCAAGGGCAUUUCAGCAAUGAAUCUGGAUGUAAUGCUUAGUUUUAACUUGCUGGUGACUAAUUUUAACCACAUAUGAUGAUAACAAUUACUUUCAGCAUGUACUAGCCCAUAUUUAUGAGCUGAAGGAGUUGCUAUCCAUUCCUUUUGUUUUCAGGGUAGUCGGAAAAAAAAAUCACCUUUCAUUGGCUUUCUUUUUUUUUUUUUUUUCUUCAAAACCCAAGAAUGGCUGAAGAAUGGCUGAGAAGAAAGUUCACCAGCAUGGUUCAGUUCCCAAACUGGCAGCAAUGGGAAUACUGGAUGAGUGAGGUAUACCGAGAACAAUGUCCAGAGAUGACAACCACAAACAUGUUUUCCUCCUGCCCACUGAACUGGCAUCAGACAGAUCUGCUUUUUAGGAGGCAAUAGCUACAGGCACAACCACACCACAGGCUUAAGCAGGCACUACAGUAAAACUCAUUGAGCUGGGGUAUGUCUUCCUUCUGCACUGGCAUUUGUACCCCAGACAAGACUGAGAAAGCGGUGAGACAUGGAAGACCCUCGUGCCCUGGUUGCAGCAAAUCAUUUUGAACCUUUCCUGACUGUCUGCCAUGGUCCUCACGCCAGGCACUAGGUAAGUUUGCAACAAGGCAAGAGCAUUGCUUUGAACAGCUAACGACCAAAUUUGCUCUGAGAGCAGGGCAAGUAAAGACACGUUUGGUGUGUUGGUCUGGGAAAACUCACAUGAGACAAAUACAUGAAUAUAAAGGACUUUCAAAUAAUGCCCUUCCUUUAUAGAAAAAUAACAACAACAAAAAGAUGCCUGUGAGGAUAAACAACCAGUUAUAUACAGGUUUUAUUCCUGCUUGGUGUUUGACAGUGUUUGGUUCUCAUCUACCUUGCACUCCACCUGGCUGUGCUGUUGACCGUGAAGCCCCAGCCUGUGAGGUUAUCUUGAAAACAGGAAAUAGCUUGUGAC